ACAUACGACCACAGCCGCCAGUAGAACUCACAAUCCCGUCCGAUCUCGUACGAUAACCUGGCGAGCGCUGGAUUAGUAGUUGGGUCGGUGACGACCAGCGAAUACCCAGUGUUGUAUGUU
rnacentral:rRNA from 1 species